UAUCUCUGUAGAGUCUGCAUAUCAAUAAGCGGAGGAAAAGAAACUAACAUAGGAUUCCCUUAGUAACGGCGAGUGAAGCGGGAAGAGCUCAAAUUUGAAAUCUUCAAGGUUUUACCUUGACGAAUUGUAGUUUAAAGAAGUGUUUUCUGUUGAAGUUUCGGUAAAAGUUCUUUGGAAUAGGACAUCAUAGAGGGUGAGAAUCCCGUAUUUGACCAGUUAUUUUCCAGCUGUGUGAUACACUUUCAAAGAGUCGGAUUGUUUGGGAAUGCAGUCCAAAAUGGGUGGUAAAUUUCAUCUAAAGCUAAAUACUGGCGAGAGACCGAUAGCGAACAAGUACCGUGAGGGAAAGAUGAAAAGAACUUUGAAAAGAGAGUUAAACAGUACGUGAAAUUGUCAAAAGGGAAGCGUUUGACACCAGUGUUGUCUUCUCGAAAAUCAAUUAAAAAUGGCUAGGAUUUUGUGUUGUAUUGACUUUAUCAAGCUUUCUUCACUCUUUUCAUUGUCUUUUUUAAUGCACUUUUCGUUUAACAAGUCAACAUCAGUUUCUUUUGUUGUAAAAGGGUCAUUGGAAGGUGGCUUUCUUUUCGGAGAAAGUGUUUAUAGCCUUUGCCUCUGCAAUCGGAGAGAUUGAGGUCUGCAGCGUAGAUCCUUUCUGGAUUAGAUACAUUUGUGCUAAGUUAUAACCGUUUCAUAGACAACUUGUUGACUAUAUCGAUCAUGUAGCUUACUCGCUUAUGCUAUUUUACCUACGCUUAGGAUGUUGAUAGUCACAGCGUGUAC
rnacentral:rRNA from 1 species